GAUACGACCGUACCGCAAACCGACACUGGUGCGCGAGAUGAGUAUUCUAAGGCGCUUGAGAAACUCAGGAGAAGGAACUCGGCAAAUUGACACCGUAACUUCGGAAGAAGGUGUGCCCUAUUAGUGUGUAGUGAACAACGAAGCAUGAAUGGGUUGCAAAAAAUCGGUGGCUGCGACUGUUUAUUAAAAACACAGCACUCUGCAAACACGAAAGUGGACGUAUAGGGUGUGACGCCUGCCCGGUGCUGGAGGAUUAAAUGAUGGGGUGCAAGCUCUUGAUUGAAGUCCCAGUAAACGGCGGCCGUAACAAUAACGGUCCUAAGGUAGCGAAAUUCCUUGUCGGGUAAGUUCCGACCUGCACGAAUGGCGUAACGAUGGCCACACUGUCUCCUCCUGAGACUCAGCGAAGUUGAAAUGUUUGUGAUGAUGCAAUCUCCCCGCGGAAAGACGGAAAGACCCCAUGAACCUUUACUGUAGCUUUGUAUUGGACUUUGAACAGAUCUGUGUAGGAUAGGUGGGAGGCUUUGAGGCAGGGUCGCUAGAUCUUGUGGAGCCAACGUUGAAAUACCACCCUGGUGUGUUUGAGGUUCUAACCUAGGUCCAUUAUCUGGAUCGGGGACAGUGCAUGGUAGGCAGUUUGACUGGGGCGGUCUCCUCCCAAAGCGUAACGGAGGAGUUCGAAGGUACGCUAGUUACGGUCGGACAUCGUGACGAUAGUGCAAUGGCAUAAGCGUGCUUAACUGCGAGACUGACAAGUCGAGCAGAUGCGAAAGCAGGACAUAGUGAUCCGGUGGUUCUGUAUGGAAGGGCCAUCGCUCAACGGAUAAAAGGUACUCUGGGGAUAACAGGCUGAUACCGCCCAAGAGUUCAUAUCGACGGCGGUGUUUGGCACCUCGAUGUCGGCUCAUCUCAUCCUGGGGCUGUAGCCGGUCCCAAGGGUAUGGCUGUUCGCCACUUAAAGAGGUACGUGAGCUGGGUUUAAAACGUCGUGAGACAGUUUGGUCCCUAUCUUCCGUGGGCGCUGCAGAUUUGAGGAAGCCUGCUCCUAGUACGAGAGGACCGGAGUGGACACACCUCUGGUGUAUCGGUUGUCACGCCAGUGGCAUUGCCGAGUAGCUAAGUGUGGAAGAGAUAACCGCUGAAAGCAUCUAAGCGGGAAACUCGUUUCAAGAUGAGAUCUGCCGGGGCCUUGAGCCCCCUAAAGAGUCGUUCAAGACCAGGACGUUGAUAGGUCAGGUGUGGAAACA
rnacentral:rRNA from 1 species